rnacentral:lncRNA from 1 species
CAGUAUGAAUGAUGGAUAACAGAACCAGAGACUGGGAACUUGGAGGCCAAGGGGGAACUCCUCGGGAGCUGCAACUGACACACAAAGGAAAUUUUAAGCAAGGCAGUGGAAAUGAGAAUGUGAAUUCGAAUUGUUGCAGAAUGUCAAAGGAGAACUCUUCCUGCUGUCUCAGAAAUUCAGCUGGAGCUACAGAGAUCAAAGAGAGGAUGUUAAAUACCCACUAAUUUGAAAGCGAGUUGACAGGCCAGCUGUGCAGAACAUGCUAAGGGGUAACCCCAAAAGACAGAUAAGCCUUUGUCUAUGACGUGCCUCAAGCCAAUACAAGGAGAAAAAAGGAGCAAUAAAGGAAAGACCAUGAGGAUGGGUUUCUGUGAGAAGAGCUGUAGAUUUUUCCUUUCUUCUCCAUACCUUGAGCCAAGUUGGGAGGUUGUAAAAAUCUUCUGACAGAGCUUGGGUGUGCUUCCUGCCAGGAGGAAGACUAACCUGGAGCAAGCGGGUGGGGAGAGACCUUCAGAGAAUUUGGACUCCCUACAGUCGGGGCACAGGGUUUUGUGUUGACUUGCACUUGUAGAAGUCCGAUGCCGAUUUAACAGCCAACAACAAAACAAAAUAAAGCAAAAUAAAUGUCAGAAUGUGUGAGCUAUCAGAUCACUGGCCUGUGGAUAUUCAAGUCUGAACGGAAUUUGAAUUGUCCCUUUUUGGGGAAAUGAUGCACAUUGUAUCAUGUCAGGCAAUAAUUUUUUGUAUAUGUUAUGGAUAGUUUGUAUGUAUGUGUGUGGUGGGGAUGGUGUGAAUGCAUGUGCUGGCUGGGAAGUAAAG